AUUGAACGCUGGCGGCAUGCUUUACACAUGCCAGUCGAACGGCAGCGCGGGCUUCGGCCUGGCGGCGAGUGGCGAACGGGUGAGUAAUGCAUCGGAACGUGCCCAGUAGUGGGGGAUAGCCCGGCGAAAGCCGGAUUAAUACCGCAUACGACCUGAGGGUGAAAGCGGGGGACCGAAAGGCCUCGCGCUAUUGGAGCGGCCGAUGUCGGAUUAGCUAGUUGGUGGGGUAAAGGCUUACCAAGGCGACGAUCCGUAGCUGGUCUGAGAGGACGACCAGCCACACUGGGACUGAGACACGGCCCAGACUCCUACGGGAGGCAGCAGUGGGGAAUUUUGGACAAUGGGGGCAACCCUGAUCCAGCCAUGCCGCGUGCGGGAAGAAGGCCUGCGGGUUGUAAACCGCUUUUGUUCGGGAAGAAAUCCUCUGGGCUAAUACCCCGGGGGGAUGACGGUACCGGAAGAAUAAGCACCGGCUAACUACGU
rnacentral:rRNA from 1 species